AUGCUAACUUUGACAGGCCCAAACCGAGGGCUCGUCGUGCCACACACCAUCUUCUUCGAGAUCAACCUGAAGAUCAAUGGCGACGGAGCCACCGGCGACAGGGAUUUCAGCAAAGGUGUGAUAGAACACUACCCUGUUCCCUUGGAGAAGGGCCCCAAGGCUGAGCUGCUAUCUAGCUGGCUGAGCACCGUAGAACUGGUAGCAGCGCCCGUUCCAUAUUCCGUGGCAGCCACCGUCAAGAUCGGUAUUCUGAAUGGACCCUGCGACGCCCCUUUCAGUGGCAAGAUAACCGCCUGGACCGCCGGAGACACCGAGAGCCACAUCAUUCUAUACGAACACGAAAACAGAGCGAUGGGCGACCGUAGAUUGAUCGGAGAUGGCGGUUCGAUCGCGUUGAGCCGUAGUUUGGUGGCCGUCCAUGUCCCCAAUCCCUUGUUUGAUGAGUAUGAAGAAAUCGCACUCAGUGUUUGUUUUACAUCCGGUGAUGGUGAGGGUGAAGGAUGCUUGGUAGGAUACUGA
rnacentral:rRNA from 1 species